rnacentral:rRNA from 1 species
AUACGGGGGGUGCAAGCGUUGUUCGGAUUUACUGGGCGUAAAGGGCGCGUAGGCGGCACUGUAAGUCAGAUGUGAAAGUCCAGGGCUUAACCCUGGAAGUGCAUCUGAUACUGCAGAGCUUGAGUAUCGGAGGGGAAAGUAGAAUUCCCGGUGUAGAGGUGAAAUUCGUAGAUAUCGGGAGGAAUACCGGUGGCGAAGGCGACUUUCUGGACGAAUACUGACGCUGAUGCGCGAAAGCGUGGGGAGC